GAUGAACGCUGACAGAAUGCUUAACACAUGCAAGUCAACUUGAAUUUGGGUUUUUAACUUAGGUUUGGGUGGCGGACGGGUGAGUAACACGUAAAGAACUUGCCUCACAGCUAGGGACAACAUUUGUAAACGAAUGCUAAUACCUAAUAUUAUGAUAAUAGGGCAUCCUAUAAUUAUGAAAGCUAUAAGCGCUGUGAGAGAGCUUUGCGUCCCAUUAGCUAGUUGGAGAGGUAACGGCUCACCAAGGCGAUGAUGGGUAGCCGGCCUGAGAGGGUGAUCGGCCACAAGGGGACUGAGACACGGCCCGUACUCCUACGGGAGGCAGCAGUGGAGAAUAUUGGACAAUGGACCGAGAGUCUGAUCCAGCAAUUCUGUGUGCACGAUGAAGUUUUUCGGAAUGUAAAGUGCUUUCAGUUGGGAAGAAACAAAUGACGGUACCAACAGAAGAAGUGACGGCUAAAUACGUG
rnacentral:rRNA from 1 species